AGAAUUAAUCUCUCCAAUCAGCCUUGGCAUUUUCUUUCUAUCUUUGAUAUGUUGUUUUUUACAGUGUCUUGGUUUUCAGAAUAAGCUGUUUGUAACUACUUCCUCCACUAUAUGCUUUGAUAGAUUGACUUUGCCUCUUUUACUGCGUGCAUAGUGCCAUCUUGUGGCCAUAAAGCAUAUAACACUCAUAGUUAUGCCACAGUGCUUCUGUUCCAUCUUAUUUCUGUAGUCCAGAGGAUCUCUUAAGUGUAGAAACACAUGGAUUAUUACUAGCCAAGGCCAUCACUGGCCAAGCCCAUCUAAAAGCCAGAGGCAGCAAGCAGUGCCCGUUGAAACAUCCAUAAAAGGUGAUAUUUGGUUAGCAACGUCCUACUGUAGACAUUUUGAUGUGGUGGUGAUUGGAAUAUGGUCUGCAGAGAUCAACCAGAAUUAGCUCCAUGUGCCACUGGGAGUGGGAACUGAAGUCACGCAGGAAUAAACCAGUCUUCAUGCUUUAGGAUGUUCUGAUGUGCCAUUGUCGUGAAAUCUUCAUUCAUGAGACAUUCCAGUUUACCGGCAGUGUCGACUAGAAUAUGCUACAGCCCCCAAAAUACGUUUUUAGUAUAAGGAUUAUUUUGAGCUGAUUAUUUUGAGAAAUAGCAGACGCAGGAGAAACUCUGAAGACAGAAGGAUUGUUUGCAUAGCUUGCUAAAAGGCACCUAAGCAGCAGCAUCAUCUCUAUGUCUUCAGUAAAUUGUGGAACAUUUCUAAAAUACUCCUGGAAGCAGAGACAGUGUGGUCCUUUGCAUAUCAGUGACUGAGAAAAAUUUUAAGAUCAAUGUGUAUGUGUCUCUGUGUGUCUGUAAGGCUCAUGAAAAAUCAGGCAAACUUCAGCUAGUGUCUUGAAUUUAAGUCCCAAAUCAUCUAAGAAGCGGUCAUCUAGCUCUC
rnacentral:lncRNA from 10 species